rnacentral:rRNA from 1 species
UGGGGAAUAUUGCACAAUGGGCGCAAGCCUGAUGCAGCCAUGCCGCGUGUAUGAAGAAGUCCUUCGGGUUGUAAAGUACUUUCAGUCGGGAGGAAGGUGGUAAGGUUAAUAACCUUAUCAAUUGACGUUACCGACAGAAGAAGCACCGGCUAACUCCGUGCCAGCAGCCGCGGUAAUACGGAGGGUGCAAGCGUUAAUCGGAAUUACUGGGCGUAAAGCGCACGCAGGCGGUCUGUCAAGUCGGAUGUGAAAUCCCCGGGCUCAACCUGGGAACUGCAUUCGAAACUGGCAGGCUAGAGUCUUGUAGAGGGGGGUAGAAUUCCAGGUGUAGCGGUGAAAUGCGUAGAGAUCUGGAGGAAUACCGGUGGCGAAUGCGGCCCCCUGGACAAAGACUGACGCUCAGGUGCGAAAGCGUGGGGAGCAAACAGG